UACGGAGGGGACUAGCGUUGUUCGGAAUAACUGGGCGUAAAGGGCGCGUAGGUGGAAAGCGACGUGAGAUGUGAAAUACCUGGGCUUAACCUGGGGCGGUCAUCUGAAACGGGCUAUCUAGAGUACGGUAGAGGGGAGUGGAAUUUCCGGUGUAGCGGUGAAAUGCGUAGAUAUCGGAAGGAACACCAGUGGCGAAGGCGACUCCCUGGGCCGAUACUGACACUGAGGCGCGAAAGCGUGGGGAGCGAACAGG
rnacentral:misc_RNA from 1 species